rnacentral:rRNA from 1 species
AUUGAACGCUGGCGGCAGGCCUAACACAUGCAAGUCGAACGAGUGGCGGACGGGUGAGUAAUGUCUGGGAAACUGCCUGAUGGAGGGGGAUAACUACUGGAAACGGUAGCUAAUACCGCAUACCAUCAGAUGUGCCCAGAUGGGAUUAGCUUGUUGGUGGGGUAACGGCUCACCAAGGCGACGCGCCCUAGCUGGUCUGAGAGGAUGACCAGCCACACUGGAACUGAGACACUGUCCAGACUCCUACGGGAGGCAGAAGGGGGGAAGAUUGCACAAUGGGUGCAAGCCUGAUGCAGCCAGGCCGCGUGUAUGAAGAAGGCCUGCGGGUUGUAAAGUACUUUCAGCGUGGAGGCGUUACCCGCAGAAGAAGCACCGGCUAACUCCGUGCCAGCAGCCGCGGUAAUAC